rnacentral:lncRNA from 1 species
CUUGACACACCCCAAGCCCUUCUUUGCAUUGUGACAUAGGACACAGUAGAAGCCUGCUAACAGUGACAACCCCUUCUGAAGGAAUAAUAGAUCUGUGCAAAAAGUCUUUGGCUCAGGACAUUGGGUGGCUUUGUGCAGCUGUCCUGGAUUUCUGGAAGCUCGACUUGCUGUGACUCCAGGAGGCAACUCUAUAGAUCACUGGGGACUCAUCCUGCAGAUAUCAUUCAAGACAUCCAGUUCAGAAUCUAUCACCAGCUCAGAUUGUAGGCUCUGAAGAGAUCUCAGAUGUUUUGUGCCUUAUACAUUUAAUUCUGAGAUCACAGAGCCCGAGGAGGUUUUGAGGACCCUCUACUCCCACCUUCGGAUGUUUUCAGAGGAGUUGCUGGCAGGGCUGGGCCACUGGGCCUUGCUGGGAAUUAAUUCUCCUAC